AGCUCCAAUCGCGUAUAUCAAAGUUGUUAUAUCCAAACACACUCGUAGUUGGAUUUCUGCCGAGGACGACCGGUCCAGUAUCUGGCUUGGCCUUGGCAUCUUCUCGGAGAACAUAACUGCACUUGAAUGUGUGGUGUGGAAUCCAGGAUGUUUUGUUUUGAGGAAAUUAGAAUAAUUCAACCAGGCACGCGCCUUGAAUACAUUUGCAUAGAAUUGUAAGAUUACCUUGGUUCUAUUUUGUUGGUUUCUAGAGCUGUGGUAAUGAUUAAUGCGGAUAAGCUGGGGCAUUCGUAUUUCAUCGUUUGAUGUGAGACUCUUGGACUUGUCAAAGAGGGACGGCUGCGAAAGUAUUUGCCAAGGAUGUUGUCA
rnacentral:rRNA from 1 species